UUUGCUGACGAGUGGCGGACGGGUGAGUAAUGUCUGGGAAACUGCCUGAUGGAGGGGGAUAACUACUGGAAACGGUAGCUAAUACCGCAUAACGUCGCAAGACCAAAGAGGGGGACCUUCGGGCCUCUUGCCAUCGGAUGUGCCCAGAUGGGAUUAGCUAGUAGGUGGGGUAAAGGCUCACCUAGGCGACGAUCCCUAGCUGGUCUGAGAGGAUGACCAGCCACACUGGAACUGAGACACGGUCCAGACUCCUACGGGAGGCAGCAGUGGGGAAUAUUGCACAAUGGGCGCAAGCCUGAUGCAGCCAUGCCGCGUGUAUGAAGAAGGCCUUCGGGUUGUAAAGUACUUUCAGCGGGGAGGAAGGGAGUAAAGUUAAUACCUUUGCUCAUUGACGUUACCCGCAGAAGAAGCACCGGCUAACUCCGUGCCAGCAGCCGCGGUAAUACGGAGGGUGCAAGCGUUAAUCGGAAUUACUGGGCGUAAAGCGCACGCAGGCGGUUUGUUAAGUCAGAUGUGAAAUCCCCGGGCUCAACCUGGGAACUGCAUCUGAUACUGGCAAGCUUGAGUCUCGUAGAGGGGGGUAGAAUUCCAGGUGUAGCGGUGAAAUGCGUAGAGAUCUGGAGGAAUACCGGUGGCGAAGGCGGCCCCCUGGACGAA
rnacentral:rRNA from 1 species